rnacentral:tRNA from 1 species
GCGGGUGUGGCGGAACUGGUAGACGCGCUGGUUUUAGGUACCAGUGUUUUAUGACGUGGGGGUUCGAGUCCCUUCACCCGCACCA